UACGGGGGGAGCAAGCGUUGUUCGGAUUUACUGGGCGUAAAGGGCGCGUAGGCGGCCACCGCAAGUCAAUUGUGAAAUCUCCGGGCUUAACUCGGAAAGGUCAACUGAUACUGCGGGGCUAGAGUGCGGAAGGGGCUACUGGAAUUCUCGGUGUAGCGGUGAAAUGCGUAGAUAUCGAGAGGAACACCUGCGGCGAAGGCGGGUAGCUGGGCCGACACGUGACGCUGAGGCGCGAAAGCCAGGGGAGCGAACGGGA
rnacentral:rRNA from 1 species